AGGAAAAAGGAAAAGGAGCUUUAUCAUAAAGGGAAAGGAGCUUCAUUAUCUUGGACGACAUGGAGAGACUUUGGGAAGAUAAGGAAUUCUCUGGAUUGGAACAAAGGGAUGCUGAGGAUUUUAUGG